GCGCGAGUGGCGGAAUUGGUAGACGCGCACGGUUCAGGUCCGUGUGAUCUUACGAUCAUGGGGUUCGAGUCCCCCCCGCGCA
rnacentral:tRNA from 1 species